rnacentral:rRNA from 1 species
GAUGAACGCUGGCGGCGUGCCUAACACAUGCAAGUCGAACGGAGAUUCCGGACGGAAGUUUUCGGAUGGAAGCCUGUAAUUCUUGGUGGCGGACGGGUGAGUAACGCGUGGGCAACCUGCCCUAUACAGGGGGAUAGCAGCUGGAAACGGCUGGUAAGACCGCAUAAGUCGGUUAAAUCGCAUGAUUUGAUCGGGAAAUGAGCAAUCAGGUAUAGGAUGGGCCCGCGUCCGAUUAGCCAGUUGGCAGGGUAAAAGCCUACCAAAGCGACGAUCGGUAGCCGGACUGAGAGGUCGGACGGCCACAUUGGGACUGAGCCACGGCCCAAACUCCUACGGGAGGCAGCAGUGGGGGAUAUUGCACAAUGGAGGAAACUCUGAUGCAGCGACGCCGCGUGAGUGAAGAAGUAUUUCGGUAUGUAAAGCUCUAUCAGCAGGGAAGAUGAUGACGGUACCUGACUAAGAAGCCCCGGCUAACUACGUG